GACGAACGCUGGCGGCGUGCUUAACACAUGCAAGUCGAACGGAAAGGCCCUGCUUUUGUGGGGUGCUCGAGUGGCGAAAGGGUGAGUAACACGUGAGUAACCUGCCCUUGACUUUGGGAUAACUUCAGGAAACUGGGGCUAAUGCCGGAUAGGAGCUCCUGCUGCAUGGUGGGGGUUGGAAAGUUUCGGCGGUUGGGGAUGGACUCGCGGCUUAUCAGCUUGUUGGUGGGGUAGUGGCUUACCAAGGCUUUGACGGGUAGCCGGCCUGAGAGGGUGACCGGCCACAUUGGGACUGAGAUACGGCCCAGACUCCUACGGGAGGCAGCAGUGGGGAAUAUUGCACAAUGGGCGGAAGCCUGAUGCAGCAACGCCGCGUGCGGGAUGACGGCCUUCGGGUUGUAAACCGCUUUCGCCUGUGACGAAGCGUGAGUGACGGUAAUGGGUAAAGAAGCACCGGCUAACUACGUG
rnacentral:rRNA from 1 species